rnacentral:rRNA from 1 species
AUGGUAGUACGCCUAUUUUGGAAUGCUAGAGGGAUGAAUAAGCCUGAAAAACUCAAGGCGGUGGGUAAGCUCAUUAGAGACACCCAUGCUGACUUGGUUGGUUUUUCUGAAACUAAGAAAGAAUAUUUUAGUAAUUUGCAAAUUGCCAGUGUUGACCCACAAGAGAGUUACUCUUGGCACUGGCUACCAGCUGUUGGCACAGCUGGGGGCAUCUUGGUGGGGGUUAAUACAGAGAAAUUUGAUAUUGUCUCUGUAGAUAUUCUAGAUUUUUCUAUUUCUUGUUUAAUUAAGGAUAAGAAGAAUAACAUUAACCGGAGAUUUAUUUCAGUCUAUGGUUCAGCCUAUGAUAAUCUCAAACUAGAGUUCAUCAAUGAGCUGCAUAGUAUUAUGGAUACUUGGAUGGGGCCCACCAUAAUUGGGGGUGACUUCAACCUGGUUAGAAGUAGUGAUGAUAAGAACACUAGGGUAGUUAACCUACACUGGGUGACCCUGUUCAUUAACUGGAUUAACAAAUAUGGGCUGGUAGAGCUGAAAAAUUCUAGUAGAAAGUAUACCUAG